UAUUCUUAAUUUUUUGGAUAAACUAUUCCUUUAACUAUAACUUUAUUAUUAUUCACUAUUUCAAGGAACUGUUGCUGCUGCAAUGUAAAUCACUCAUCACAAAAUGUACACAGUGCAGCCAUCAUUGUUCUCUCAGACCACGAUACUUUAUUGAGUUACUCAUCCUGGCAUGAUAUACAAUCAAUGCAUGUCUGCUUGAGUUAUAAAAAGCUCAAUCCAGUGAAGUAACAGAUCUUAAUCUGUGCACAUACAUACAUCUCCCCUCCCACGCUGUCACUGAGACUUCAUGCAGGCUUAACAACAUGAAACCAGACACUCCCAACAGCCCUGCCUCUCUGUGUCUGGAGAUGGGACAUCCCACAGAAGGAGACCUAGAAAGAAGAGAGGAAAUCACAGCAACAGAAGGGGGUCCCAUGCCGCAGUCAGCGAGAAGGCUCCACAGCACUGUUCAGAUGCAAGCAGAAACUGGAAGAGUUACAGGAGUUUACAUCCCCCCGGUUGUCAUGUGAUUCACCACAGCUCAAGUGACAGAUUGAAUGGGAAUAUUUUAUAGGUAGAAAAUCUUAAAGGUGAGGUUCAGACUGAGCUGCAGGUAAGGUUACUGAAUUUUCUGUGCCAUUAUAUGCAUUCAGAUGCAAACAAAUAAAAAAUACAUUCAAGUUUUAAUGAAGCAUUAUAUAGUUAUCCUGAAAUUAACAUUCUUUCAUAAUUUAGUCCCUGGUGGUGGAUGAGGAGAUCCCUCCUCACAAUGCAAAGCAAUAAUUAUAAUAUAAUUAUUUAAUCAGCAUCAUUUUAUUCCAAACUCAUAUUAUUAUAAUUUUUAUUUUGUCACCAGGGGCAAAUGAGGAUUGAGAGCUGAUUACCAGUGUAUAGUGCCUUCAGUUUCAGUCCAUUCCUCACACAAAGCAUUCAGUAUAAACCUUCAAAUCAAAUGACUUGAGAUAUACAGCAGUGUACACUGAAAAUGACUGCUGUAGAAACUAGUUUCACUCAGGCCUUUCAGAGUUCAACACAAGCAACACACUGAAUUUAACAUCACAUUUUGAAGUUUAAAGACUGAAAGUUUUUGUUUGUUUGUUUGCUUUACACAGUAUACCUGAUAUUAAACCACUUUUAUGGUACAUCUAUUUCUGUCCUUUUAUUAGCUUUAUGAUCCCUGGUCCCUGUAUACUUUUGUUGUAUGGAAGAAGAAAAAAACUAACAUUCCUCAAAAUAUCUUCUUUAAAGUUUCAUGGAUAAAAAAGUAAUACAGGUUUGGAACAAAAUGAGAAUAUGUGACAGAAAGUGUUCAAUUGAAAAAAAAAAAAACUACAAGACUUUUACAUUGUUACAAAAAUACAAUAACUUUCUUUUAAACUUUCUAGUCAUCCAUUUAAUAUCAUGAUAUCAGUUUAUACAAAAUAAAUAAAUAAAAAUGUGCAGCACAACUGUUUUCAACACUGUUAAUUAAUAAGGCAUGUCUCUUUAGCAGCAAAUCAUCAUAUUUAACUGAUUUCUGAAGGAUCAAGUGGCAAUGAAGAAUGGAGUAAUGAUGCUGAAAAUCCAGCUCUGCCAUCAGUUUUAAAAUAUAUUACAAUUGAAACCAGUUAGUUUAAAUUCAAAUAAUUUUUAUAAUAAUACUGUUUUGAAUGUAUUUUUAAUCAAACCACCCCCCCCCCCCCCCCCCCUUGGUGAGCAUAAAACACUUCUCUCAAAAACCUUUUUAAAAUCUUACUUACCCCAAACGUACCGUUACACCGUUACUGGUUGUAUUUCACAAUUCAGACUUGCAAUUCUGAGUUUAUAUUCUCAUAAAUUUUCUCAGAAUUACGUGUGUGUAUACAGUAAGGUGUGUAAAAAAUGGAGGAUGAAAACAGAAAUUAUGAACUAUGAAUUCCAUGGAAAAAGAAAAUCUAAAUUGGAGAUAUAAAUGCUCAAUUCCAAGAAAAAAGUUUGAUUUGUGAAAUACAACCAAUUAACCGUUUUAUAUUUGUAUGCUGUGGCAGAAAUAAGCUUCAUCAGGACUAGUACAUCCCACCUUCAGGCUAUGUUGAGUUCAAAACAUUUAUAUAUUGACUGGUCUUUAACCUUGUUAUUAAAGUAUGUGACAUUAUAUGCCAUGAACAACAUCAGUAAAACAAGGUUAAAAGGUUUCACACAAACUUUAGGCUUUAAAACCCCAGUCUCAAUUGAGUACCUAUUGUAUGUGAAGACAUAAAUGUUUCUUCAUAUUGAUUUGAGACCACAUAUGCAACUUGAACUAACCUGAUGGUCAGUGAUGGUCAGUAUAAAAGAGCUUCCAUGCGAGUGUCUGCAAGCUAUUACAGUUUAACAUCCCUGUUCUGUUGUCUGAGUGAGUCUCUCUCUCAUGGGAACAAUAAGGAUGAGGUUUCACUGUGAUACCCUCUGGUCCUAGAACAGACGUCUGUUAUUCUUAGUCUCAAAGAAGGGAACGGCACUGUGAUCGGCUCUGAACUUCGCCAUGUUCUUUCAACAUUGAGUAAAUACAAAACACUGCUACACAACAGCUCUUACACUGUUUUGCUAACAAACCAAAUGACUGCUUUGUUAAAUUAAGAAGAGAUUUAUUUUUAACAUACAGUAAGCAGCUUAAAAAAAUCUGUGUUUGACUCCUGGGUUUACAUAUUUACUGUACCUUGAGAUUAACGCUGCUGGAAACAAGCACGGAGCAUCACAUGUGGUACCUGCAGGUGAGAAACUGACAGAAUCAGAGGAAGAACAGCUGAUGGCAGGACAGGAGGAGGGAAAACCAAUGUGUCAGAUAUGAAGCGUUUGUUAAACACAUCAUGGCUGGGAAAAUGCAAGAGCUCAGAUCAGGCACUACUGUCCUCUGCAGUUAUCAAGAGUCCUUCAGCCCAGCUCUACGCUCUCUAAUGCCCUUGAACUAGUUUUCCUGUAUCAGAUUUAUUUUUUUAUUUUUUAUGUGAGUUGCACAGAUUUUCUGCAUCAUCAGACUAAACAAUUAUUUUGUAAUGCGUUGCAAGGAGCAAACUCCCUCUAAGUGUGUCCUGAAAUUGAAUGCAUUUGCUGGUAUAUAUAGGCUAUAUUAUGUAUAUUUGUUCUCAUGAACUUAUGUCAAUGAUUUUUUAUGUGUCAGUGCAAGUCCACAAAGUCUAAAACUCACUGUCAGUUGAUAAAAAAAUAAACAAACUUCAAAAUUAAAAUGGACCUUACCUCAACAGAAUCAGUUACCUACUUUAUACGACACAUGGAGCAGAUUUUCUUAUUAAAAACUUUUACAGAAACAGCUGGAAAGAGACAAGACUCUGGAUCACUGGUGUCCAUGUGAAUUACAGAUUUACAGGAUGAAUGAUAAAAGGAAAUACACAUUACAUGUGUAAAACAUUUCUCUUCUAAGAAAGUGUCUUGGAUCCUAUAUAGAUUUGCAUUUUGGUUAGUAGUGGUAAAUGCUUUUAAAUAAAGUGUUUAUGUUGUAAAUGUGAUGUGAUAUGGAUGGACUAAACCAAAGAUAUAUCAUACUGUGACUUAUGUGUAAUUACUGAUGUAGUAUCCAGCGUUUUCAUACAACCGAUGCUCAGAUGUUUGUUUCUUCAUGAAGAGGUGUAUUUAGUGACAGUGAACGGCUAACUGUUCAUGUUCUAACUUUAUCCCAUGUUAGUACAGAAUUAAAUAUUUAAAUAUCAAUUUGAGCUGAAACUAUUUUAUACAUUUACCCAUGUGUUAUUCUAAAACCCAAAAAGUUGUCCAAUGCACUGAAUAAAAGCAUUGCCCU